rnacentral:misc_RNA from 1 species
UGUUUCAAGUUUUAUUAUUCAAUUUAAAAUAUUUGUUAUUUAUGAAUGAGAUAAAUGUUGAGAAUAUUUUAGAGGUUUUUAUAUAUUUCUUUGUAAUUCCAUAUAAAAGAGCAAAAUAGACUUAGGAAAUUGAAUGACAUCAUUCUUAAUCUGUGGUGUAGACUGUUUAUAAUCAUUGUUUUUAAAAACGCUUUCAGAUAUCUUCAAUCUUCAUUCUUGAAAUCCUGAGACCGUGUCAAAUUAGAAUAGUUUUUUCAAAACGAAUGUAUCGAACGCUGAGUUAUUUUUUUGUUAUAAAAAGCUAUGUAUUUUAAACAGUUAAAAUCUAACUAAUGACAAAAAUAUUUUCUGGGAUAACUUUACCUUUCUAAACAACGAAUGAAAAUACUGGGUCACCCUUGAUCAUGAGUAACAACUGCCUUAUACAGAAAACCUUAUUAUAAUUGGUUGUAUCAUUGCCAAUGAAUGAAAAAUCAACUAUAUUAUUGCUAUUAUUUCUGUAUAACAAAGUCCUCGUAAAAGUUUUCUUUAAAAAUGUGUGAAAUUAUACAAGCACUCAGAGACCCACUCAAAGAUAUAGAAAGCGAAUAUGUACAGAAUACAGAAGAUAUUUAUAAAGCUGCUCAACCUACAUUAUCAGACAUGCCAGUUGAGAUAAUUUUAAAAAUAUGUUCUUUCUUGGAUUCACACUUUUUAAAGUAUACAUUUAGUAAGGUCUGUACAAGGUUUGAGGAUAUAUUGGCUGAUGAUCAUCUAUGGAAGUAUUGGGUAAAUAACAAAAUGAAUGGUUGUUUUCCUGCUCUACCCAAUUUGAAAAUAUGGGAUGAAGCACAAAUUGAUUGGGAGGAAGUAUGUGUUGAAAUAGAUUCUGAGAAAAAGAAAUGGACUGAUAUUGAAAAUACAACACAACACCUAAUUGUAAAGGAUGUUCACUAUGCUUCUGUUGAUGCAGUGCUCUUGUUAAAUAAAGGUGAGACAUGUAUAUCUGGUGGAAGAGAUAGAAGUUUGGCAAUGUGGAACAUUCCCGAGAUGAAAUCUAAUGUGGAUAACAAGCCUACAAAAAUGAGACAUGACGCUCAUGCUGGAUGGGUUUGGGAUCUUGCUGCUGACAAUACAGACUGUGCUACAAUUGUAUACUCUGCAUCUUGGGACAAUACUGUCAAAGCAUGGGAUUUAGGUGCUGAAUUUUCUUGUGUAGAAACCUUUAGGUGUGGUAUGACUGCUUUAUCUGUUGUAGCAUGGGAUAAAAUUGUAAUGGCUGGACUAUAUUCAAAUAAAGUGCUGUCUUUUGACUUACGAUCAGGACCAAACCCAAUAAGUUUUUAUAAACCCCAUAAAGGACCAAUUUUAGCUCUAAGUGCACAUAAAAACAUGGUUGCAUCUGUGAGUGAAGACAAGACAUUAGCAAUUUGGGAUAAAGUUGCAGGGAAAAUUAUAAAACACAACAUAAAGAUACCUAAAGAAAAACAGUACCCUGUGUGUGUUAAUUGGAAUUCAUCAGCAAUAUACAUAGGUGAUUCUACAGGUUCACUUCACAUUUUUAAUCCUGAAGAUUUUGCAUAUGUUAGGUCUCAUGAAAUUUGGAAGGAAACUCCAAUUGUUGAACCAUCCCAUAAAAUUGCUGGUUGCUAUCAAAGUAAGGGAAAUAUGAUUCUGUGCUCAGAUCAAGGAGAAAUUAAAUUUUUGUAUAAUUGUUAUCCUCCCCAGGAAUAUAGUAGUAUUAAAACAACUACUGUUGAUGUAACAAAGUUACAAUAUCAAAAUGGUAUUUUAGCAGUUGGGACCUGUGAUAAUGCAUUAGAAUUUUGGAUUCCAAACGAGAAACUAUCAUCAUCAUCAGACAUAUGAAUUUUAUAAUAUAAAUUAUAUUUAUAGUUGUAAUACUAAACUUUGGUUUUAUAGUUGAGAAUCUAACCAGAUUUAACUUUAAUGACUUUUAACUGUUAAUGACUUAAUUUAUGUUAAAUAUUGUUAUUUUAUUAAGAUUGUCAAUUUAGUAUCACAUCAAUUUGAAGAUGUUUAAAACCAAAAUGACCUGAACUUAAAAUCUUAAAAAUGUCUUUAAUCAAAACUUGCAUUUAUUUAUUGAACUAGGCUUUUCAAAUAUUCGUUUGAAUUGGCAGUUUGUAUAUGACUGAAGAUUAUGGUCCUGUGAUUAACAGCAUCAUAAAGUGCACAGAUUCAAUGAAGAAAAACGUAACAUUGUGAUACUAUAUUUUUUAUUUAGUUAUUAAAAUUAAUUUGUUGUAAUUUAAAUAAAUUCUAAAAUUAACAUAUAUCUCGAGGAUGACUUCUUAUGACUGACUACUUUUAUAUUGUUGGAGCUCAAAAUUUACACUGCACAUAGUAUUUUUUUGUAAGAUUAAAUAUUUACUGAGAAGUUAUGAGAAUAAUGUAUUUUUAGUUGUCUUACAAAGCAGGUCUUAUAGAGUUUCACAGUUUACAGCAAGGCAAUAUUUCUCAAAAAGUUAGUGGAUGAUUUAUAUUUAUAAUUAUUUUAGUUGGAGCGCCUUCGUGAAAUGAUUAAGAAAAUAUGGUGUAUACUAUGUUUUCUAAAUUCAAGUGAAAGUUAGACUUUUUUUGAUAGAAUUGUAAAUGAAAGCCCUCCAACAUAAGCAAUUCCUUUUAUUUAAUACUAAAGUUACCUUAUUAUUUAUAAUAGCUAGCUUUUAUCUAACUCACUUCAAUACUUUAAAAUGGUUUUAUUGAACCGGAAACAAUUAAGAAUACUCAUUGUUACAUGCAUAGCUACACUGACGACAGUUUAUAAAAUUAAUUUUGAAUGAUAUAAGCUAUCUAUUUUUGUUCGGUUAAUAGUAAUAUAUUCAACAUGAAAUAAUAACGUGUUUACAUUAAAUAAAGAUGGUAUAAAAAUGGUUAUUAGGUUAAAGAAUUAUUACAAUAUGAUGUUCACACGUUCAAACAAAUUUCAUACCUAUUAAUGCAUUGUGUUUAAUGAUCGUUCUUAUUGUGAAAUCGUUCUUAAUGUCACGAUAGCCAGCAACGUCGGUGGUUUUAAUGCGAAAGCAUAAUGAAAUGUAUUUUCGAACGUACCUAUAGUCUUUUAAUUUAAACAGCUAAGUCAAUUUUAAUCUUUGUCUAAUUUGCCGAGUUGCGCUUGAAGUGGUAUUCUACGGUGGUAUUAUACUAUGAUUGUAACGUUGUACAAUUUGUAUGAAAUAACUUAUUAAAAUCUCGGCUUUCAAAUGCG